rnacentral:lncRNA from 13 species
AUGUGUUUUUCUGUUAUAUAUUUUCAAUUGUUGUUGUCUUUUAAGUGCCUUAUCUGUAAUGUAUGGGAUAGCCUACCCUCUCACCUUUCUACCUUCUUCAGCUCCUCUCAUCCUCAUUCAUCCUUUCUCCCUCUUUCUUUUGCUUCUUAUUGUUCCCCACUCCUACUCAUCCAUCUCCUCCCUCAUUCUGAGAUCCUCCCCUCACAGCCUUUCACAUCCCCAUUCCAACCCUCGUUCAUUUGUACUAACCUUGACCAAUCUUCCUCUCUUCCCCGUCGCUUUGGAAAAACAACAGUCACGUAAUUACAGUGUUAUUUUUUUGUGUGUAUUAUGAUGCUUAAGUAUUAUCAUUAAUAAUAAAAACAACGACCAUGAAUUACUAUGCCAAACCUGUCUACUCCAAUGUUUGUUUUAAUCACUCAAAUUAUUAUCUACAGUAUAGGUUUCCUAUGUCUUGGUUUAGGUACUGAGGCCUACAACCUCCUAUAUAACCUUCUAUAAACACAGGGAUUGUAUAUUGUGCACUUAUUUAUUUACGUUUCUGAAAUAGGAGUAGUAGGUGUAUUACAUUAUAAUACAAAAUUACAUUAUAAUGUGAGUAUAACAUAUCACUCAAAUAAUCUUAAAGGUUAAGAUCUUGUUUUGACUCAAAUAAAAUAUUAUACAGAUGGUUCUGGCCUGUGAUUCGGCGUAAAUGGUCAAACAUUGGGGUUGCCCUCUUAUUGGAUGGCACUUGUAUCCCGCUAAUGAUUGAAGAAAACUGUUACAUAGCUAGAGCAGACUUGGGCGCCUAUACAGUUAUUGCUGUUAGCCGUGAACGCCAUCUUGGAUCUAGAAGGUUUCUAAAUGGGGUUAACAGGAAAAGGGUCAGGAAAAUAGAUACUUUCGUUCUUAUUUUGUAAUUUCCCCCACUGGCUGAUGAUGAAGAAACACGAGUCAUGACGUCGCCUCUUUAUUUGCUGAUAUAGUUAAAAUCGGUAAAUCUGAGAGGAUUGUGGACUGAGGAAAUUUCCGCAGUU